rnacentral:tRNA from 1 species
GCUUUCGUGGUGCAGCGGUAGCACACUCGGUGUGUAUUCCAGAGGUUCAGGUUCGAGUCCCGGCGAAGGCA